AGCUAGGGUUCAAAAUUUCACUCCUUAGUUGUGACAUUGAAUUGAGAGAUCUUGUACCCAUAUAUUCUAAUUUAUGUAUCUCUCACAAUCCCAUAAAUAUUAAUAAAAUUUGAAAAUGAUUUAUUAUAAUUUUUGUAUCUCUCAACAUUGCUUGAGCGAGGUGAAGGAAGCUCUGGUGGAGGCUCAUACCGAUCAUGAUGUGCAAACCAUUCUUUGACUUGGAUAUAAAGAUAAAGACUAAUCAAAUCAUUUAGUAGAUGGUUUCUUCAAAGUUUUCCUCAAGAAGGUAGAAUCCACGAACGAGUUUUAUCAAGUAGAGCCAGUAAUUAGAGGCAUCAGUGGCGUAACGUUCACCUAUUCUCAAACUUUAAAUAGGUAGGAUGACAUUAUUGCUCCAUUAAGUCAUUUUAUUGAAUCGAGAGUUUCAAGAAAGCUAUUUUUAGUAAGUGAAACUACCAAUGCGGGGUAAAUCGAAAACUAGGUAACGGUGCCCAAUUGUGUGCUAAUCUAGACUCGUAAAGAGUGUUGGUCGAUUAAGACAGCAAGACAGUGGUCAUAAAAGUCGAAGUCUGCCAAAAAGUGUGUAACAACCCACCUACCAAAUUAACUAGUCUUAGAAAUGAAUGGCGUUGAAUCACAUUACUUAUAUCUAGGCGGGCAUUUUGACUAAGAGGGAUGGCAAUCGCUGCAAAACUUGGGGCGCAAGCCUGGACAAGCGAUUAUCGGAUCUUGAUGGUAAUAGCAAAUAUUCAAAUGAGAACUUUGAAAACC
rnacentral:ncRNA from 1 species